rnacentral:tRNA from 1 species
GGGGCUAUAGCUCAUCUGGCAGAGCGUCUCGUUCGCAACGAGAAGGCAGCGAGUUCGAUUCUCGUUAGCUCCA